UGGGGGAUAUUGCACAAUGGGCGAAAGCCUGAUGCAGCGACGCCGCGUGGGGGAUGAAGGCCUUCGGGUUGUAAACUUCUUUUGCUCUGAACAAGGCAUGCCUUUGGGGUGUGUUGAGUGUAGGGGUUGAUUAGCGCCGGCUAACUACGUGCCAGCAGCCGCGGUAAUACGUAGGGCGCGAGCGUUGUCCGGAAUUAUUGGGCGUAAAGGGCUUGUAGGUGGCUGGUUGCGUCUGUCGUGAAAGCUCAUGGCUUAACUGUGGGUUUGCGGUGGGUACGGGCUGGCUUGAGUGUAGUAGGGGAGGCUGGAAUUCCUGGUGUAGCGGUGGAAUGCGCAGAUAUCUGGAGGAAUACCGGUGGCGAAGGCGGGUCUCUGGGCUGUUACUGACGCUGAGGAGCGAAAGCGUGGGGAGCGAACAGG
rnacentral:rRNA from 1 species